rnacentral:rRNA from 1 species
AGAGUUUGAUCCUGGCUCAGGACGAACGCUGGCGGCGUGCCUAAUACAUGCAAGUAGAACGCUGAGGUUUGGUGUUUACACUAGACUGAUGAGUUGCGAACGGGUGAGUAACGCGUAGGUAACCUGCCUCAUAGCGGGGGAUAACUAUUGGAAACGAUAGCUAAUACCGCAUAAGAGUAAUUAACACAUGUUGGUUAUUUAAAAGGAGCAAUUGCUUCACUGUGAGAUGGACCUGCGUUGUAUUAGCUAGUUGGUGAGGUAAAGGCUCACCAAGGCGACGAUACAUAGCCGACCUGAGAGGGUGAUCGGCCACACUGGGACUGAGACACGGCCCAGACUCCUACGGGAGGCAGCAGUAGGGAAUCUUCGGCAAUGGACGGAAGUCUGACCGAGCAACGCCGCGUGAGUGAAGAAGGUUUUCGGAUCGUAAAGCUCUGUUGUUAGAGAAGAACGUUGGUAGGAGUGGAAAAUCUACCAAGUGACGGUAACUAACCAGAAAGGGACGGCUAACUACGUGCCAGCAGCCGCGGUAAUACGUAGGUCCCGAGCGUUGUCCGGAUUUAUUGGGCGUAAAGCGAGCGCAGGCGGUUCUUUAAGUCUGAAGUUAAAGGCAGUGGCUCAACCAUUGUACGCUUUGGAAACUGGAGGACUUGAGUGCAGAAGGGGAGAGUGGAAUUCCAUGUGUAGCGGUGAAAUGCGUAGAUAUAUGGAGGAACACCGGUGGCGAAAGCGGCUCUCUGGUCUGUAACUGACGCUGAGGCUCGAAAGCGUGGGGAGCAAACAGGAUUAGAUACCCUGGUAGUCCACGCCGUAAACGAUGAGUGCUAGGUGUUAGGCCCUUUCCGGGGCUUAGUGCCGCAGCUAACGCAUUAAGCACUCCGCCUGGGGAGUACGACCGCAAGGUUGAAACUCAAAGGAAUUGACGGGGGCCCG